GAAAUGCGAUAAGUAGUGUGAAUUGCAGAAUUCAGUGAAUCAUCGAAUCUUUGAACGCACAUUUCGCCCCUUGGUAUUCCAUGGGGCAUGCCUGUUCGAGCGUCAUUUGUACCCUCAAGCUCUGCUUGGUGUUGGGUGUUUGUCCCGUCUCCGCGCGUGGACUCGCCCCAAAGUGAUUGGCAGCCGGCGUACUGGUCCCGGAGCGCAGCACAUGUCGCGCAAACGAGUGCCUUGGUACGGCGGCGUCCAUAAGCCCCUCUCUCACGCUCUUGACCUCGGAUCAGGUAGGGAUACCCGCUGAACUUAAGC
rnacentral:misc_RNA from 1 species